rnacentral:rRNA from 1 species
UGAGCAACCUGCCCUUGACUCUGGAAUAACAGCUGGAAACAGCUGCUAAUACCGGAUACGACCUCCGACGGCAUCAUCUGGAGGUGGAAAGCUCCGGCGGUCAAGGAUGGGCUCGCGGCCUAUCAGCUUGUUGGUGAGGUAACGGCUCACCAAGGCUUCGACGGGUAGCCGGCCUGAGAGGGCGACCGGCCACACUGGGACUGAGACACGGCCCAGACUCCGUAGGAGG